rnacentral:lncRNA from 1 species
CUCUGUUCCCCCCUUCAAAUAAGUUCCUUCUCUUUCAAGCUACUGUCUUAUGUAAAUUCUUGACGAAUCUAUACUCUUUCCAUUCCACCUUUCCCAUUAAAUACAUACUUCCCUGCUCUCAGGAUUUCACCUCAGUCAUUUUGAUUCUGAACCCAAGUUUGCUGUGCUUGCUGCAUGACAGGCCAAUAAAUUUGGAGGUGAGUUGUUGGGACGAGGAAUAAAGACUUUAAUUGGAAAGCUAGCAGACCCGAAAAGAUGGCAGACUAGUGUCCCCAAAAACCAUCUUUCCUCAGUCUGAAUUCAGGGUCCUUUUAUGUAGAAGAAGGGGAGAAGGACAACAGUCAUUCACUAAUUUUUACUUGCUUGGGGGAAGGGCUCACUACUUUGCUAACCAGUGGCUGAGCAGGACCACUAAAUGUUGCUCACUAAUGGUUGCUCUCUUGCAAUUUUACUAAAUCUAUAAAUCCUCAGGUCACAUGAACCUUAGUUACCAAACCAGUGGUUCUUGGAUUCUGUGGGGUGGUUAUUUUCCUAUUCUCCAGGGUGUUCCACUCUAGAAGUUCUAUCAUGGACUUCUCUAGCCAAGUCAUCUUGUUAUCUUUCUCCUUUGAUCCCUAAAUAUGGAUAUUCCCAAAGGAUCACUUUUUCAUUUUCUCUCUUUAUAUAUAUUUCUGACAACCUUAUAGCUUCGCUGACUAUUCUUAUGCCAAUAACAAGAUGGAUAGUCUAGCCCAGACACUUCAAGUUCAAAUCUCCCCCUACAGCUUCCUGAUAGACUUUUCCAUUUGAUUUUCUCUCUGGUGCCUCAAACCCAGUACACUCCAAACAACAGCAACAACACAACAGCAACAGCAACAACAACAAACCCUUAAAAUCUCCAUUCCAAAUUUGCUCUUCUACCUGGGUCUUUAAUUUUAGUCUUUUUUUUUUUUUUUUGUCUUUUUUCUGGAGCCACUCCCUUGGCAUAUGGAGGUUCCCAGGCUAGGGAUCGAAUCGGAGCUAUAGCCGCUGGUCUACACCACAGCCACAGCAACUCGGGAUCUGAGCUGCGUCUGUGACCUACACCACAGCUCAUGGCAACACCAAAUCCUUAACCCACUGAGCAAGGCCAGGGAUCGAACCCGCAACCUCAUGGUUUCUAGUUGGAUUCGUUAACCACUCAGCCAUGAUGGGAACUCUGUGGGUCUCUAAUUUUAGAUAAAACAUCACACCAACAUCGUAUUU